GACGAACGCUGGCGGCGUGCCUAAUACAUGCAAGUCGAGCGAACGGACGAGAAGCUUGCUUCUCUGAUGUUAGCGGCGGACGGGUGAGUCACACGUGGAUAACCUACCUAUAAGACUGGGAUAACUUCGGGAAACCGGAGCUAACACCGGAUAAUAUUUUGAACCGCAUGGUUCAAAAGUGAAAGACGGUCUUGCUGUCACUUAUAGAUGGAUCCGCGCUGCAUUAGCUAGUUGGUAAGGUAACGGCUUACCAAGGCGACGAUGCAUAGCCGACCUGAGCGGGUGGUCGGCCACACUGGAGCUGAGACACAGUCCAGACUCCUACGGGAGGCAGCAGUAGGGAAUCUUCCGCAAUGGGCGAGAGCCUGACGGAGCAACGCCGCGUGAGUGAUGAAGGUGUUCGGAUCGUAAAACUCUGUUAUUAGGGGAGAACAUAUGUGUAAGUAACUGUGCACAUCUUGACGGUACCUGAUCAAGAAGCCACGGCUAACUACGUG
rnacentral:rRNA from 1 species